GCAUCGAUAGCUCAGUGGCAGAGCGGUGGGGUGUUUACCCUACCCAUGCGGCCCGGGUUCGAUCCCCGGUCGAUGCA